GUUCUGCUGCUCCAGGUAGCGUACCUUCUCGAUGAAGCUGGCGAAGCGGUCAUUUAUGGUCUUGA